AAAUUGAAGAGUUUGAUCAUGGCUCAGAUUGAACGCUGGCGGCAGGCCUAACACAUGCAAGUCGAACGGUAACAGGAAGCAGCUUGCUGCUUUGCUGACGAGUGGCGGACGGGUGAGUAAUGUCUGGGAAACUGCCUGAUGGAGGGGGAUAACUACUGGAAACGGUGGCUAAUACCGCAUAACGUCGCAAGACCAAAGAGGGGGACCUUCUGGCCUCUUGCCAUCAGAUGUGCCCAGAUGGGAUUAGCUAGUUGGUGAGGUAACGGCUCACCAAGGCGACGAUCCCUAGCUGGUCUGAGAGGAUGACCAGCCACACUGGAACUGAGACACGGUCCAGACUCCUACGGGAGGCAGCAGUGGGGAAUAUUGCACAAUGGGCGCAAGCCUGAUGCAGCCAUGCCGCGUGUAUGAAGAAGGCCUUCGGGUUGUAAAGUACUUUCAGCGGGGAGGAAGGUGUUGUGGUUAAUAACCGCAGCAAUUGACGUUACCCGCAGAAGAAGCACCGGCUAACUCCGUGCCAGCAGCCGCGGUAAUACGGAGGGUGCAAGCGUUAAUCGGAAUUACUGGGCGUAAAGCGCACGCAGGCGGUCUGUCAAGUCGGAUGUGAAAUCCCCGGGCUCAACCUGGGAACUGCAUUCGAAACUGGCAGGCUUGAGUCUUGUAGAGGGGGGUAGAAUUCCAGGUGUAGCGGUGAAAUGCGUAGAGAUCUGGAGGAAUACCGGUGGCGAAGGCGGCCCCCUGGACAAAGACUGACGCUCAGGUGCGAAAGCGUGGGGAGCAAACAGGAUUAGAUACCCUGGUAGUCCACGCCGUAAACGAUGUCUACUUGGAGGUUGUGCCCUUGAGGCGUGGCUUCCGGAGCUAACGCGUUAAGUAGACCGCCUGGGGAGUACGGCCGCAAGGUUAAAACUCAAAUGAAUUGACGGGGGCCCGCACAAGCGGUGGAGCAUGUGGUUUAAUUCGAUGCAACGCGAAGAACC
rnacentral:rRNA from 1 species